rnacentral:lncRNA from 1 species
UAAAAAUUACUUCAUAACAUUGUUGAGGGGUUAAAAUUGAAAAUAACAAAAUACAGGUUUUAGUAAAAUAUAACCAUCAUUUUGGUUAGCCUUUGUUUUUUGGGUUUUGGGUUUUUUUGGUACUGGAGUUCGAACUCAGGACCUUGUACUUGCCAGGCAGGUGCGGUCCCACUGAGCUAAAUCUUUGGGUCCACUCAGUUAGCCUUUGUUAUAUAACAAACUGCCCCAAGACUUAACUUACCACAAUGAUUUCUUAUUUCUCACUUCUCUGUGGGUUGAUUGGGCCAUUCCUCUGCUGCUUUCUCCCAGCCUCACUCAUGUAACUGCAUUCCACUGGAUGGUUGGCUGGUCUAGGAACCCUCCCUGGCCUCACUCACUUGCCUGGCAGUUGUGAUGGCUGGGGGGCUAUGGAGCCUUGUUUUCUCUCUACCCAACCUCUUAGCCUCUGCCAGGCUACCAUGGCUUUCUUUCAAGGUUGUUUCAGAAAGUACUCUAAGAGGGCAAAAGUGGAAGUUGCAAAAUCUCUGGAGGCAUAGACUCCAGAAACCAUACAAGGUCAUUCCCAUCACACUCAGUUGAUCAAAGCAAAAAGCUACAAGGCCAGUGAAGAUUCAAAGGAGUAAAGAAAAAGAUUCACCUCUUGAUGGUAGGAAUGGCAAAGGCACCUUGCAAAGGGACAUUGCAAAUGAAGGAGGAAUUCGUGGCUAUUAAACAAUUUACGAACCCACAUAGCAGAAUAUGGUGUGGCUAUUUAAAAUGUUGUUUUAGAAGAAUAUUUGACUAGUGCUGAUAUUAAAAAUAUUUUACAGGCACUCAUGGAGCCCAGGACAGACCUAUAAGCCUCCUUCUCUGUGAGCCUCUCCCGGGCAAUGGAGCCAGUCCUGCAAACCUCAGAGGAUGACAUCAGAGGGUUACUGUCACACUCCCCAGAAAAGUAGACUCUUGGAGCCACACAAUCUUGGUGAAUAGCAUGAUCUUCAUCAUUAUUUUUCUUCUUAUCCUGUGGUUUUUGGUUGGUGUUUUUUUUUUGGUACCGGG